CCUGAGUGAGACUCACCCCACUCGGUUAUACUCCAUCCCUUUUAAAAUAUUCCUAUAUCCACGAAUAAGAGCGAUUAA